rnacentral:rRNA from 1 species
CGAACGCUGGCGGCGUGCUUAACACAUGCAAGUCGUACGGUAAGGCCCUUUCGGGGGUACACGAGUGGCGAACGGGUGAGUAACACGUGAGUAACCUGCCCACAACUUUGGGAUAACGCUAGGAAACUGGUGCUAAUACUGGAUAUGUGCUCCUGCUGCAUGGUGGGGGUUGGAAAGCUCCGGCGGUUGUGGAUGGACUCGCGGCCUAUCAGCUUGUUGGUGGGGUAGUGGCCUACCAAGGCGGCGACGGGUAGCCGGCCUGAGAGGGUGACCGGCCACAUUAGGACUGAGAUACGGCCCAGACUCCUACGGGAGGCAGCAGUGGGGAAUAUUGCACAAUGGGCGCAAGCCUGAUGCAGCAACGCCGCGUGCGGGAUGACGGCCUUCGGGUUGUAAACCGCUUUCAGCAGGGACGAAGCUUUUUGUGACGGUACCUGCAGAAGAAGCACCGGCUAACUACGUG